AUUCCAGCUCUGUAAGCGUAUACCAAAGUUGUUGCAGUUAAAACGCUCGUAGUCGAACCUUGGCGUGAGUUACGGAGGCUCCUAAUGGACGUUGAAGUAACUCCGCCUUUGUGGAGGGGGGUGUGGUGUUACUUAAUUGUAUUGCCGCAUUUCCGCCACUGUUUACUGUGAAAAAAUUAGAGUGUUCAAAGCGAGCGUUUGCCAUGAAUACAUUAGCAUGGAAUAAUAGAAUAGGACCUGGUCCUGUUUUAUUGGUUUGUCUGUAUCAGGUAAUGAUUAACAGGGACGGUCGGGGGCAUUUGUAUUCCAGCGUUAGAGGUGAAAUUCUUGGAUCGCUGGAAGACAAACAGCUGCGAAAGCGUCUGCCAAGGACGUUUUCAUCG
rnacentral:rRNA from 1 species